rnacentral:rRNA from 1 species
AGUGAACGCUGGCGGUAGGCCUAACACAUGCAAGUCGAACGGCAGCACAGUAAGAGCUUGCUCUUACGGGUGGCGAGUGGCGGACGGGUGAGGAAUACAUCGGAAUCUACUUUUUCGUGGGGGAUAACGUAGGGAAACUUACGCUAAUACCGCAUACGACCUACGGGUGAAAGCAGGGGAUCUUCGGACCUUGCGCGAUUGAAUGAGCCGAUGUCGGAUUAGCUAGUUGGCGGGGUAAAGGCCCACCAAGGCAACGAUCCGUAGCUGGUCUGAGAGGAUGAUCAGCCACACUGGAACUGAGACACGGUCCAGACUCCUACGGGAGGCAGCAGUGGGGAAUAUUGGACAAUGGGCGCAAGCCUGACCCAGCCAUACCGCGUGAGUGAAGAAGGCCUUCGGGUCGUAAAGCCCUGUUGUUGGGAAAGAAAAGCAGUAGGUUAAUACCCCGCUGUUCUGACGGUACCCAAAGAAUAAGCACCGACUAACUUCGUG